UACGUAGGGUCCGAGCGUUGUCCGGAAUUACUGGGCGUAAAGGGCGCGUAGGCGGCCUGCUAAGUCGGACGUGAAAUCCCUCGGCUCAACCGAGGAACUGCGUCCGAUACUGGUGGGCUUGAAUCCGGGAGAGGGAUGUGGAAUUCCAGGUGUAGCGGUGAAAUGCGUAGAUAUCGGGAGGAACACCCAUUGCGAAGGCAGCUCGCUGGGACGUUACUGACGCUGAGACGCGAAAGCGUGGGGAGCAAACAGG
rnacentral:rRNA from 1 species